CUGUGCUGAUGGAAACUGCACCCUCUGAAUUGAAUUCACCCGAUAGUUGAUCUCUUUCUUUCUUCCUCAGAUACUGUCGGUUCCUCACCGUAGGCUGGUGUGCUGCAGUCGACUCUAUGAGGUCACCGAUGUGAAUAAACCUCAGAAACAGGCCUCACAUCAGAGGGAGGUGUUCCUCUUCAAUGACCUGAUAGUGAUCCUCAAACUAUGCCCUAAGAAGAAGAGUGCUGCCACAUACACGUUCUGCAAGGCCAUGGGCUUACUGGGAAUGCAGUUUCAUCUGUUUGAGAAUGAGUAUUACCCUCAUGGAAUCACGAUAUUGUCUCCGUUCUCGUCAGAGAAGAAGCAGGUGGUGAGUUUCUGUUCUCAGAGCGCCGAGGAGCUGCUCAAGUUUGUAGAGGACCUGAGAGAGAGCAUCGCAGAGGUGGCAGAGAUGGAACAAAUACGGAUUGACUGUGAGUGUCUUUGCCUGUAACUGUGAGA